GCCUUCGUAGUGUAAUGGUCAAGCACACUCGAUAUGAAUUCGAGAGGUCCGAGGUUCGAGUCCCGGGGAGGGCA
rnacentral:tRNA from 1 species